GGAGGGUUCAUGGCUCAGUGGUAGAGCAUCUGCUCUAUACGCAAGAGGUCCUGGGUUCAAUCCCAGGCAUCUCCA
rnacentral:tRNA from 1 species